UAACAGCCCUGGGGGUGUUGCCUUAGAUAGGGCGGCUGAGAUAUACCCCAAGACCUGAUCCGGAUAAUGCCGGCGUAGGGAAGGGGAAUUAUGUAGAU
rnacentral:ncRNA from 2 species